AUUGAACGCUGGCGGCAGGCUUAACACAUGCAAGUCGAGCGGAGAUGAGGUGCUUGCACCUUAUCUUAGCGGCGGACGGGUGAGUAAUGCUUAGGAAUCUGCCUAUUAGUGGGGGACAACAUUCCGAAAGGAAUGCUAAUACCGCAUACGUCCUACGGGAGAAAGCAGGGGACCUUCGGGCCUUGCGCUAAUAGAUGAGCCUAAGUCGGAUUAGCUAGUUGGUGGGGUAAAGGCCUACCAAGGCGACGAGCUGUAGCGGGUCUGAGAGGAUGAUCCGCCACACUGGGACUGAGACACGGCCCAGACUCCUACGGGAGGCAGCAGUGGGGAAUAUUGGACAAUGGGCGGAAGCCUGAUCCAGCCAUGCCGCGUGUGUGAAGAAGGCCUUUUGGUUGUAAAGCACUUUAAGCGAGGAGGAGGCUACUUAGAUUAAUACUCUAGGAUAGUGGACGUUACUCGCAGAAUAAGCACCUGCUAACUCUGUGCCAGCAGCCGCGGUAACAC
rnacentral:rRNA from 1 species